GACGAACGCUGGCGGCGCGCUUAACACAUGCAAGUCGAACGGAAAGGCCUGCUUUCCCUUGUGGAUUGCGGGUACUCGAGUGGCGAACGGGUGAGUAACACGUGAGUGAUCUGCCCCCAACUUGGGUAUAAGCCUGGGAAACUGGGUCUAAUUCCCGAUAGGACUGCAGGGUGGUGCCUGUGGUGGAAAACGAUUUUCUAGUGGUUGGGGAUGAGCUCGCGGCCUAUCAGCUUGUUGGUGGGGUAAUGGCCUACCAAGGCGGCGACGGGUAGCCGGCCUGGGAGGGUGGACGGCCACAUUGGGACUGGGAUACGGCCCAGACUCCUACGGGAGGCAGCAGUGGGGAAUAUUGAACAAGGGGCGGAAGCCUGAGGCAGCGACGCCGCGUGGGGGAUGCGGGCCUUGGGGUUGUAAACUCCUUUCGACCGCGAGGAAGCCACCUGGUGGGAAGGGUGGUGACGGUAGUGGUAGAGGAAGCACCGGCUACUACGUG
rnacentral:rRNA from 1 species